rnacentral:rRNA from 1 species
UGGGGAAUAUUGCACAAUGGAGGAAACUCUGAUGCAGCAACGCCGCGUGAAUGAAGAAGGCCUUCGGGUUGUAAAGUUCUUUUGCAAGGGAAGAUAAUGACGGUACCUUGCGAAUAAGCCACGGCUAACUACGUGCCAGCAGCCGCGGUAAUACGUAGGUGGCAAGCGUUGUCCGGAAUUACUGGGUGUAAAGGGCGAGUAGGCGGGACCAAAAGUCAGAUGUGAAAUGCAAAGGCUUAACCUUUGAGCUGCAUUUGAAACUUUGGUUCUUGAGUGAUGGAGAGGCAGGCGGAAUUCCCGGUGUAGCGGUGGAAUGCGUAGAUAUCGGGAGGAACAUCGGUGGCGAAGGCGGCCUGCUGGACAUUAACUGACGCUGAGGAGCGAAAGCGUGGGGAGCAAACA